UACGUAGGGCGCAAGCGUUUAUCCGGAAUUACUGGGCGUAAAGAGCUCGUAGGUGGUUUGUCGCGUUGUUCGUGAAAACUCACAGCUCAACUGUGGGCGUGCGGGCGAUACGGGCAGACUAGAGUACUGCAGGGGAGACUGGAAUUCCUGGUGUAGCGGUGGAAUGCGCAGAUAUCAGGAGGAACACCAAUGGCGAAGGCAGAUCUCUGGGCCGUAACUGACGCUGAGGAGCGAAAGCAUGGGGAGCGAACAGG
rnacentral:rRNA from 1 species